rnacentral:ncRNA from 2 species
UAAGCCCUUGUUCUAUAGAUUUGUCUCUAACAUGUUGGGUCUCGGGGGGCUUCCUCUAGAGACUUGGAUGUAAGGGGCUUUACGCAUUCGCAUAACUUAUGAAGUGUGGAUGACUCUAGGAGGGGUCUGAGAAUGUGCUGUGCCAGCCAGGCUGAUAAUUGUUUAAUUGUUAGCUUGGACUUGUACACAGUCUCAUCAGUCUUCAGCUUGGGUCAUUGAUAUUCUGUAAGUCAAAACUUAUCGAUUCACUGUAGUAGGUUGCGGAGGACUUGAAAGUUCUCUCUGCAAUUGAGACACUUACCAGGCCAUCGCAAGUUGGCAGUGUACACUACUGAUUUUACGGUCGUGGGGGACUUGGGAGCUGGUGCUUGUGUCGCAUGAGGUAGAGUUGAUAUGGAUGGAUGGAAGAGAAGCAUAUGUAUGUCGUGGGGGACUUGGGGUAAGACGCCUUGCGGCAAGUAGAGUCAAACCAGUAGUGACUUCUUUUGGUCAUGGGGGACUUUGGUAAUGGUAGUGAGCCGGAAUAAGGGAUGGAUAAAUGUAGUAUGGAUGGUGACAGGGGGAGCAGCAGAGCGUACGCAGUGGGUAUGUAUAUAGUUGAAAAGGGAUGGGCAGUAGAAUUUUGAGGAAUUAAUGACCUAAGGGUGGUUCUAAUAGGCUUGUCAAGAAAAAAGUUAAGUUGAAUCAAGCUGGGUCAAGCAAAGUCUAGAAAAGAUUUAUUG